rnacentral:rRNA from 1 species
CCUACGGGGGGCAGCAGUGGGGAAUUUUGGACAAUGGGGGCAACCCUGAUCCAGCCAUGCCGCGUGCGGGAAGAAGGCCUUCGGGUUGUAAACCGCUUUUGUCAGGAGAGAAAUCUCUUGGGCUAAUACCCUGAGAGGAUGACGGUACCUGAAGAAUAAGCACCGGCUAACUACGUGCCAGCAGCCGCGGUAAUCCGUAGGGUGCAAGCUUUACUCGGAAUUAGUGGGCGUAAAUCGGGCAGACGGGGUUGAAAUCCCCGGGCUUAACCUGGGAACUGCACUUGUGACUGCACGGCUAGAGUACGGCAGAGGGGGAUGGAAUUCCGCGUGUAGCAGUGAAAUGCGUAGAUAUGCGGAGGAACACCGAUGGCGAAGGCAGUCCCCUGGGCCUGUACUGACGCUCAUGCACGAAAGCGUGGGGAGCAAACAGGAUUAGAUACCCUUGUAGUC